rnacentral:lncRNA from 1 species
GAAAGCUUCAACACCUGGUUUAUUAUCAGGCACUGAUGGGCGCCUCUGGAAAGUGGAAGGAACUAAGACAAACAGAAGGACCAGCCGGUCUGGUCCAGAGCUGCUUUUCUCUCACUUGGGGCUGCCUGCUGUACAAUUCAGUCUGGGUUUCCGAUGAUGAGCUGAAGUCUUCUGGCCACUGAGCUCCUGAAAGGCUGGUAGGAAAACCCUGCACAUACGUGCCUUUUAGACCCCUGUAAGGAAAGUGCAAGGGCUCUCUUUGGGCAGAGCUGGCAGGGAUGGCCAAGAUUAGGGAGGGUCUGGGAACAGAGACUUGGGGGAAAACUCUGCCACCCCAGCCUGCCUGCCCCUCAUGGUCUCCCUGAGACAGUUUCUCUACAGUCAGAGCACCUGCAUGCACCUACUGUCCCCAGAGCUUUCGGAAAGGACGCAUGGCUAGCAGCCACCCCUCGCCGGAACCUUUGCCCAGGUUGCCUGAGUGCGUGGUUGGGAGGAGCUGGGGGCAAGAAGCAGGGAUCGUCGGGCAGAGUAGGGGUCGGGAAAGUGGGGCCGAAGUGGAAGCGGCUUCGUUGCUACGAGCAGCCCUAGCAACGCACCCAUUCAGCAGAGACAAAGGCACAGAGGCGCUGCAGUGGCUCUUGUUCUCGCAGACCGUUGUGCUUGCGGGUGGGGGCGGGGUGGAGGGGGGGUUGGGCCUGUCGGGUGAGGGGCGGCUGCGCGCUCUGAUCUUGCCUAGCCCUGCGCCCCUGAUCUGCCUGCAGGGGGCGCUUCGGCCCCUUUUAGCGGACCAGAAGCUGAACAUUCAAGGCUGCCUGCCACAAACCUUGGUCUGUGGAUCACACCCCUAUGACUAUUGCUACGUCUCAGAUGCCGCAUCUGUACAGGUCUCUUCAAUCUGCUUCGAGGGGUUUGCUCACCUCUGCAUCCUUGCCUCCUUUGAGCCAUUAGUGGCCUCGUGCCCCCAGGGUAUGCUGGAAGACUCUUGAGGUAAACCAGGUGUGGAUGACCAUGACUUCAGCGAGGCC